rnacentral:rRNA from 1 species
GACAGAGGGGGCAAGCGUUGCUCGGAAUUACUGGGCGUAAAGGGCGCGUAGGCGGGAUGGCAAGUCGGUCGUGAAAUCCCUCGGCUCAACCGAGGAACGUCGAUCGAUACUGCUGUUCUUGAGGAUUGCAGAGGAGACUGGAAUUCCCGGUGUAGCGGUGAAAUGUGUAGAGAUCGGGAGGAACACCGGUGGCGAAGGCGACUUCCUGGCCUGUUCUUGACGCUGAGGCGCGAAAGCUAGGGUAGCAAACGGG